rnacentral:rRNA from 1 species
UACGAAGGGGGCUAGCGUUGCUCGGAAUCACUGGGCGUAAAGCGCACGUAGGCGGACUCUUAAGUCGGUGGUGAAAUCCUCCAGCUUAACUGGAGAAGUGCCUCUGAUACUGGCGGCCUCGAGGGGUGCAGGGGCGUGCGGAACUUAGGGUGGAGCGGUGAAAUGCGUAGAUAUCGCUUGGAACGCCGACGGUGAAAACAGCUCGCUGGGGACCCGCUGACGCUGAGACACGAAAGCCAGGGGAGCGAACGGG